rnacentral:rRNA from 1 species
AAAAGCCCCGGCUAACUCCGUGCCAGCAGCCGCGGUAACACGGGGGGGGCAAGCGUUGUCCGGAAAUAUUGGGCGUAAAGGGCGCGCAGGCGGGAUGAUCAGUCUUGAGGUGAAAUCGUUUGGCUUUAACCGAAAGCUUGCCUUGGAUACUGUCAUUCUUGAGUUCGGAAGAGGGAAGUGGAAUUCCUGGUGUAGCGGUGAAAUGCGUAGAUAUCAGGAAGAACACCGGUGGCGAAGGCGGCUUCCUGGUCCGAUACUGACGCUGAGGCGCGAAAGCGUGGGGAGCGAACAGGAUUAGAUACCCUGGUAGUCCACGCUGUAAACGAUGGGUACUAGGUGUUGGUCCUUUUUAGGAUCAGCGCCGCAGCUAACGCAUUAAGUACCCCGCCUGGGGAAUACGACCGCAAGGUUGAAACCCAAAGGAAUUGACGGGGGCCCGCACAAGCGGUGGAGCAUGUGGUUUAAUUCGAUGCAACGCGAAGAACCUUACCUGGGCUUGAACCGUAGUCGAAAACCCCUGAAAAGGGGUCCUCCUUCGGGACGGCUAUAGAGGUGCUGCAUGGCUGUCGUCAGCUCGUGCCGUGAGGUGUUGGGUUAAGUCCCGCAACGAGCGCAACCCUUGCCCUUAGUUGCCAUCAGGUUAUGCUGGGAACUCUAAGGGGACUGCCCCGGAUAACGGGGAGGAAGGUGGGGAUGACGUCAAGUCCUCAUGGCCCUUACGUCCAGGGCUACACACGUGCUACAAUGGCCGGUACAAUGGGCAGCGAUACCGCAAGGUGGAGCAAAUCCUUAAAACCGGUCUCAGUUCAGAUUGCAGUCUGCAACUCGACUGCAUGAAGUCGGAAUCGCUAGUAAUCGCGGAUCAGCAUGCCGCGGUGAAUACGUUCCCGGGCCUUGUACACACCGCCCGUCACGCCAUGGAAGUUGGUAGCACCCGAAGCCGGUGGCCUAAUCCCGCUUGCGGGAAAGGAGCCGUCGAAGGUGAGACCG